GCGAGGUGCAGAGCCAUCACUAUACAACAAAGCAGCAGAGACAUUCUGCCAACCGAUCUACAGAGGAAACAAUGAUAUUACAUUACAUAACAACUUAACUUUACAUUUAAUAACCUCUAAUAGUGUUAAAGGGAUCCUGGAUACCAUUUUAAUGACUCCGUGUGCAUUAGGAAGGAAGGUAGUGGUUGUUUCAUGAGCAAAUGCUAUUUAGCAUUAGCACAAUGACUGGAAGUCUACAGGUACGGUAGCAUUGCUAAUGCACCUGUAGUCUUCCAGUCAUUGAACUAGAAUCGUACAUUAUGCAUUUAACAUAACUUAUUUUAAAAUGGCAUCGCAUAACAUGACAAAACGUAACACAAAUUAACUUUUAAGUGACAUAAGUUAACAUGAGCAGCUCCAUCUGUAACGUAGCACAUUACCUGGACAUGAAUCAGAGAAUCUGGCUAGUAACACAGUGACAGUAGUAGUAGUAGCUUGGUCUUGGUAGAGUAGCUCAGAAUCAGAGAAUGUUGAGAGUAACACAGUGACAGUAGUAGUAGUAGCUUGGUCUUGGUAGAGUAGCUCAGAAUCAGAGAAUCUGGCUAGUAACACAGUGACAGUAGUAGUAGUAGCUUGGUCUUGGUAGAAUAGCUCCGAAUCAGAGAAUGUUGAGAGUAACACAGUGAUAGUAGUAGUAGUAGCUUGGUCUUGGUAGAGUAGCUCAGAAUCAGAGAAUGUUGAGAGUACCUGAGCUGGCUAGUAACACAGUGACAGUAGUAGUAGUAGCUUGGUCUUGGUAGUGUAGCUCAGAAUCAGAGAAUGUUGAGAGUGCCUGAGCUGGCUACUGCUUCUGGCUUGGAUUAGUCACUGUUGAGGAGAAGAAGUGAAAUGAGAUGAUGUGAGGAGAAGAGAUGAGGAAAUAAUAAGGUACUGCUGAACAGCAACCAGACCAUAUCCUCCUGUCUACAGUACUGGGUGUGUCCUAAAAGCCCCAGCCCUGCCAACUCUCAUUAUCAGUCUGACUGGAAUCAUAUCAACAACCUGCUAGUUC
ensembl:lncRNA